CUGAAUAGACGGGCNUCGAUCCCGCG
rnacentral:tRNA from 1 species